CACAGGUUGUGUGGAUGAGACUCGGGAAUGUUUAAAAGAAGUUGUGAAUGGGCACAGAUUAACUGAUAAAUAAGCCGAUUUAUAAACCUUCUUUUGGUGUUUACUGACACAGUAAGCCAAUAAGACGACUAGAACGUGGCACAAACUCAAAGUAGCGCGUCGAAAACUGAAAAGCCGAUUAUGAAUAAGGUGCUGAAUGGUUG
ensembl:ncRNA K10D6.14 ncRNA